CAAUGAAGGUAGCAUGGUACUGUGCACGAAUAUUAAGCAACUUUUAGGUCGUCAUGUCUGCCCCCACUGAUUUCUCUCAUGAUUUGGGGGCCUGGACUAGACCUACAUAA